CCCUUAGAUGUCCGGGGCUGCACGCGCGCCACACUGAGUGGAUCAGCGUGUGUCUACCCUUCGCCGAGAGGCGUGGGUAACCCGCUGAACCCCACUCGUGAUAGGGAUUGGGGAUUGCAAUUAUUUCCCAUGAACGAGGAAUUCCCAGUAAGCGCGGGUCAUAAGCUCGCGUUGAUUAAGUCCCUGCCCUUUGUACACACCGCCCGUCGCUACUACCGAUUGGAUGGUUUAGUGAGGUCCUCGGAUCGGCCCCGCCGGGGUCGGUCACGGCCCUGGCGGAGCGCCGAGAAGACGAUCAAACUUGACUAUCUAGAGGAAGUAAAANUCGUANCA
rnacentral:rRNA from 1 species